CCAAAAAUAACCGCCCGAAGGCCGGGGCGCCAAGUUCGUCCAGCGGAAAAAGGCCACAAAAACGGGUGGGCUAUAGCCUUGGGGGGUGGGGCUGGCGAACUUCGUCUGCCGGACUCGGAAUGGCGCGAGACUUUGCGAGGCCCCUCCGUGUGCCAAAAAUAGGCCGCGGGCACAGCCGCAUCCAAAAAUAACCGCCCGAAGGCCGGGGCGCCAAGUUCGUCCAGCGGAAAAAGGCCACAAAAACGGGUGGGCUAUAGCCUUGGGGGGGGGCUAGCCAACUUCGUCCGCCAGACUUGGAAUGGCGCUAGACUUUAAGAGGCGCCUCCGUGUGCCAAAAAUAGGCCGCGGGCACAGCCGCACCCAAAAAUAACAUCCCGAAGGCCGGGGCGCCAAGUUCGUCCAGCGGAAAAAGGCCACAAAAACGGGUGGGCUAUAGCCUUGGGGGGUGGGGCUGGCGAACUUCGUCUGCCGGACUCGGAAUGGCGCGAGACUUUGCGAGGCCCCUCCGUGUGCCAAAAAUAGGCUGUGACCACAGCCGCGCCCAAAAAUAACCGCCCGAAGGCCGGGGCGCCAAGUUCGUCCAGCGGAAAAAGGCCACAAAAACGGGUGGGCUAUAGCCUUGGGGGGUGGGGCUGGCCAACUUCGUCCGCCGGACUCGGAAUGACGCGAGACAUUGCGAGGCGCCUCCGUGUGCCAAAAAUAUUCCGCGGGCACAGCCGCGCCCAAAAUUAACCGCCCGAAGGCCGGUGUGCCAAGUUCGUCCAGCGGAAAAAGGCCACAAAAAUGGGUGGGCUAUAGCCUUGGGGGGUGGGGCUGGCAAACUUCGUCUGCCGGACUCGGAAUGGCGCGAGACUUUGCGAGGCCCCUCCGUGUGCCAAAAAUAGGCCGCGCGCACAGCCGCGCCCAAAAAUAACCUCCCGAAGGCCGGGGCGCCAAGUUCGUCCAGCGGAAAAAGGCCACAAAAACGGGUGGGCUAUAGCCUUGGGGGGGGGGCUAGCCAACUUCGUCCGCCAGGCUUGGAAUGGCGCUAGACUUUAAGAGGCGCCUCUGUGUGCCAAAAAUAGGCCGCGGGCACAGCCGAACCCAAAAACAACAUCCCGAAGGCCGGGGCGCCAAGUUCGUCCAGCGGAAAAAGGCCACAAAAACGGGUGGGCUAUAGCCUUGGGGGGUGGGGCUAGCCAACUUCGUCCGCCAAGACUUGGAAUGCCGCUAGACUUUAAGAGGGGCUUCCGUGUGCCAAAAUAGGCCGCGGGCACAGCCGCGCCCAAAAAUAACCGCCCGAAGGCCGGGGCGCCAAGUUCGUCCAGCGGAAAAAGGCCACAAAAACGGGUGGGCUAUAGCCUUGGGGGGGGGCUAGCCAACUUCGUCCGCCAGACUUGGAAUGGCUCUAGACUUUAAGAGGCGCCUCCGUGUGCCAAAAAUAGGCCGCGGGCACAGCCGCACCCAAAAAUACCCGCCCGAAGGCCGCGGCGCCAAGUUCGUCCAGCGGAAAAAGCCCACA
rnacentral:lncRNA from 1 species